UGGGGAAUAUUGCACAAUGGAGGGAACUCUGAUGCAGCGACGCCGCGUGAGUGAUGAAGGAAUUCGUUUCGUAAAACUCUGUUCUAUGGGAAGAAAAGGACUGUACCAUAGGAGAAAGCUCCGGCUAAAUACGUGCCAGCAGCCGCGGUAAUACGUAUGGAGCGAGCGUUGUCCGGAAUUAUUGGGCGUAAAGGGCGCGCAGGCGGCUUUACAAGUUGGAUGUGAAAUAUUGUGGCUCAACCACAAACGUGCAUCCAAAACUGCAAAGCUUGAGUUAAGGAGAGGUAAGUGGAAUUCCUGGUGUAGCGGUGGAAUGCGUAGAUAUCAGGAGGAAUACCGGUGGCGAAGGCGACUUACUGGACUUAAACUGACGCUCAGGCACGAAAGCGUGGGGAGCAAACAGG
rnacentral:rRNA from 1 species